UACGAAGGGGGCUAGCGUUGUUCGGAAUUACUGGGCGUAAAGGGCUCGUAGGCGGCCAACUAAGUCAGACGUGAAAUCCCUCAGCUUAACUGGGGAACUGCGUCUGAUACUGGAUGGCUUGGAUUCGGGAGAGGAAUGCGGAAUUCCAGGUGUAGCGGUGAAAUGCGUAGAGAUCCGGAAGAACACCGGUGGCGAAGGCGGCCUGCUGGGCAGUAGCUGACACUGAGGCGCGACAGCGUGGGGAGCAAACAGG
rnacentral:rRNA from 1 species